rnacentral:lncRNA from 1 species
AAACCAAGAUUAAAUUGAUUUACCUUUUACACUUCGUUUCCAAUAUCAACAGAUUCAUGUUUUGUGGAAGAAGUGGAUAAGAAGAGAGGUGGUAGGUAGGAUAGAAGAAGAGAGUUAUCAGAAAGAAAAGAAAGAAAGGGAAAAAGAGAGAAAGAGGAAAAGAGAAGAAGGAAGAAAGGAAGAAGAAAAGGGAAAGAAGAAGGAAGCCAUGGAAGCACCAUCAUCUCAUCUUCAUCAUCACCAACUUCAUCUUCUUCUUCUACUAGGUGAGUUCUUAGCUAGUAUAGCAUUUGGGGGAAGAAACUUUAUAAAUUUGGGGGUUAGG